rnacentral:rRNA from 1 species
UUGGCUUUCUAACCCGCACCACUUAUCGUGGUGGGAGACAGUGUCAGGCGGGCAGUUUGACUGGGGCGGUCGCCUCCUAAAAGGUAACGGAGGCGCUCAAAGGUUCCCUCAGAAUGGUUGGAAAUCAUUCAUAGAGUGUAAAGGCAUAAGGGAGCUUGACUGCGAGACCUACAAGUCGAGCAGGGUCGAAAGACGGACUU